rnacentral:lncRNA from 1 species
UUUGGAGCAAAGCUUUUCUUUUUAUUGCAGUUAUUAGUGAAAGUUACACUUCAAACUGAUGCUAAGCAACACUAAAACCAUUAAUAUUUUAAAAUCAAGGAUUAAAAACAAAUACAACAUAGAACUCUUCCAAUACACAGAAUGGCAGAAAAAAGGAGUGGUUCUGUCACAGGACACUUUAGUGACAGCUUGGCUCAGAAAGAAUUAUGACAAUUUCUUUAACAUAAAAUAUUGUAAGUGACUGAACUGCUUAAAAAGCGGCUUGAAGCGUCUCAAUCUCAACCCUAGGUUUUUUGUAGUAAAGAUUUUUGGGGGAACAUAAUUUAAAUACCCCCCAAAGCAUUUUUGUUUAAAAACUUUAUUUGCCUUCUGCUCGUCUUAAUGACAUACAGUCUUCAAGGAAUUAAAAUGAAAACCAUCUCCACAGCCUGGCCCCCAAGUACACAGUGAUAGGACUCCGCAUUUGGUGUUUCUCAGUAUACAGUGAGUACACAUAUAUCAUAGAUUAGCUCCCACCCACCAUGUAAUCCAAUUUCCUCUUAAUAGUAUGCAGCCGUCAAGUUUAGUAUCAGUCAAGAUUUUAUCUUACAGCAUAUUAAGAACUCAGACUCACUCCACUGACUCCACUGUUUUAACUAAUAUGACUGUGUAACCGAACAUUAACAAAGGAAGGCUUAUAGAUAAACAUUUUGAAAUUCUGCAGUCUCUAAACUACAGUAAAUUGUUCUUACUUAUGAAAAGCCAACAAAAAAAUAUAAGGCCAGACCGGGUGUAAGACAGGAUAGGGAAGAUGAAGAAGGAGGUUUGAGUGUCCAUCGUUUUACCAUGCUGAAAAUUGGUUUCAGUAGAAAUAUUUGGCAAGAAUAGUCAGUGUGGAAAAGGAGGAUGGAGAAAGAGGUUACUCUGAUUUUAUGUAAUAAUUCAGUUUCAAAACAUACUGAUAUUAACCCCCCCAAAUAUUUCACAUCUGCAGUACAAAUAGGCACACACGGUUAAGAUGGUUAAAAAGUAAAAUUUAAAAGGCUAUUUGUCCACCUGCAGGACAUCUGCAGAAGGCCCCACCCUUCCCACAUGUCCUAUAUUUACAUUUUACUUUUCAGAAAAGCCCCUUUAAAAAGAGCGCUAUUUCCUCCUCCAUUAUUUUGGGUUUUAAAAAAAGCAGCAAUUAUCUAAAGUGGGAGCAGUUAGCCACGCUUUAGGGGUGUGUAUCUGUGUGUAGUAUAAAUGUUCUCCAGAGUGAGUGGUCAGAUUACACUGGAAUGGUUAUAUUACAAUUUUAGUCCCCCAAAACAUUAAAGAAACACAUUUUUUCUAUAUAAACUUAUGUAAUACACAGUGUUAUAAACAUAGAAUAUUUACACACACACGGACACACACGCCACUGCUUCCCACAGCCUAUGAAUGCAUCCAUAUAGUCCACAAGAAUGAUCUUUAUUCACAAGAUACAGUAAUACUUUCAUGGGUCUAUAACUGAAGACAAAUAUUAAAGCUACACAUUAUAGCAAAAACUGUUUAAAAGUAUUCCUGAAAUAUCCAAUGUUCUCAGCUAUCUCACCCAGCAAGGUGGAGUUUUUUUUGUUCAUUUUCCAAGCAUGAACCUCCCCAACUUUAUCCUAUAAAACUAAGGCAGAUAUCACCCGCGUUAGUGAUGAGCUAAAAGCUCAAACUGCCUGCAAGAAGGGGAGAUCAUCUAUAGAAAUAAAAAAUAAAUGUUGAAUGCAUUCAUACCCUGUGUACCUCAAAUGCAUCCUUUAUUUCUUAACAAAACAAACAAGCAAAGGAAUUGCUUAUACAACCUGUGGUGAUGUGCCCUUUGUUUUUUUCCUAGAAACAGGAGCCCCUUACCCCCAGGAAAGUGGGUAAGUCUGUAAAAAUGUAAGGUUCUGCCCACAAUCCAUAAAGAUAACUGGGUCAGACACCAACAGGCUGCCUAAAAUCACCUGCAGAUGCUCCGAACUGAAUUUAAAUGAAGAAAAAAACCCUUUUAAUAUGAUUUUUUACAGGUACAUGGUGAUUGGAAAGCAAGGUCAACUCUGUGAAGUGUUAAGUGAAAGAAGCACACUUUCCUUCUUAAAACCUAACCCCGUACUCCAAAAAACGGUACAAAAAGAUCUGCAAGAAACAAAGGGAUAACAAAUGGAUAAUUAUCUGGUUGUGCAACAGCCUCUGAUGCCAAUCCACAGCAAAAAUGCCUGAAGGCAAAAGGCAAAGUUAGUUAAGUUUUGAUUAUCUGAUGGUUUCAUCACAUUAAUCUAACUUGAAAUACAAUCACAGCUGCCAUAGCACCACUAAAAGGAGUUUGGUUUUUGGAGUUGCACUUUUUCCAAAAAUGAUUAUAAAGAAAAAUUCAACCUGUGUGAUAGCUAGCAGGGGAGAAAUGAAACAGGAUACGUUUGUAGGCGAACGCCAUACCAUGAUAAAGCCUCCGUUUCUCUUACAUUUGUUUGAUAAAAUGAUCCAGGGUGGUAACUAAAGAUACUUUCAUAGGGGCAAACUGGAAAUGAACACUUCAUACAACAAUAUUCUUUUAUCUUGAACCUCUGAGUCGCUUUUCUUUUUGGAGAACUCAAGCACUGUCACAAUCAUCCUAAUCUUAGAACUACUUUGUGAGGGAGAUGAGGGCAGGUAUUAUCAAUACCAUUUUACAAGAGCCUAGACAUAAAGAGAUUAAGGAAACUGCCUUAAGGACACAGAGCAAAUUAGUGGUAGAGCUGACUAAACUCCAAGUCUUAGCUCAAGUUUUAGAGGCCUUUAAGAUCCCCUGGGGAAGGGAAUGGCUACCCACUCCAGUAUUCUCGCCUGGAGAAUUCCAUGGACAGAGGAGGCUGGUGGGCUACAGUCCAUGGGGCUUCAAAGAGUCGGACCUGACUGAGUGACUAAUACUUUGACUACCCUCAAAGGCAACAAGCUCUCAACCAUCUUUUUCCAGUUGUGAUCUUCUAAAAGUUCUGGUAUUUGAAACUUAUUUUGCUUUCUCCUUUAUAGUUCAGGUUUGACUACAAAAUGAAUUAAAAAUUUUAAUAUGGAACUUUGCACACACUAAGAGGCGUAUAGGUGAGAGAUCUAUCUACAGAACUAAGGUCUGAAAUAAUAUGUAAAUUAAGAGGACAUAGUAGUCUUAAGUAUUCAUUUAAUACAAUUUUUAUAUAUUUAAGGUGACAUGUCAGAAUCAGUUACAAAUCUUCUGAUGUUUAAAUCAGAGUCUGAUUCAUUAAAACUAGAAGCUACAUUAAUUUUCCUUAAGAAUAUGGGCAUCACUGUUGCAAAAAACUGAAAUGUUACUUUCAAGAAUAAUUUUCUCUAUUACUUUGCUAUAACAUCCUAUUUCAGGUACAUAUUCUGUACACAUUAUCACUCUACAGGUAGCAAAAACCUUUAUGGACAGAGAGAAUACCUGCAGGACUAACACUUUCAAUCUUAAUUCUCAUUUAACCAAGUUAGGAUUUCUCUCUAUCAUUAUUAACUAAAGUUACAUUCUAAUGAUUCUUACUAUCUUUUUUCUUUUAUCCCUCCCCCUUUUAAUAGUGUGUGUGUUUGUGUGUGUCUGUAAGGGGGAGGAGAGAGAAGAACUGCACGACUCAUAAAUGGCAUAAAGCACUGACAACAUCCCCAAACAGAAUGAUGGCACUCAAGUAGAUCAAAGAAUGGUAUGUCAAAGAAAAAACUUUAGAACCCAAACAUGAAAACAGUAUUCAGAGAGUCUCUCAAUCAAGCCAUAACUUGUGGUAUGUGAUCUUUCUUUCCAAAGUAUUUUAAAGACACUUACUCAAAGCAGAAUUCUAUAUAAACUGCCUCUAAAUCCUUUUUCUUUCUUUUUUAAAGAGGAGAAUGGCUGUACUCUGGGCUAAGAAAUGAGAAAGCUCCUGGAAAACUUUUUAAGAAUCUUACGGGGACAAAGUAUUAGAUUUUGGUUAGUGCUUGCUAGACCUGAUUUCUGAAUUAGAAAAACAGCACAUGCAGGAUCAUCAUCAACACUAUGAGAUCAUUCCCUUUCUAUGAAACAGGGAGAUAUUCGCAGUUAAUCACCACCAGAGAUCCAAUCCUGUUGCUACCAAAACCAAAUGUUUACCUGCUACCAAAGGUUCCUCUUGUUAAACUCCCUGGGAUCAAACUGUAUCCAUUAACCUGGCUGGACUGUUUAUGUUAGGCAAAAUUCCCUCUUCAUCACAGCCUACCAGUGUUUUCCCCAAAUCUUUUAUCAAAAAAUAUUUUUUUUUUACAGGAAAGACAACCUUGUCUGGGAAGGUUCUGUUUUGUGUUUUCUAUAUAAAGGGAAAAGCUGGAGAAGCUUUGUUGAUAGCAAUUUCGCGGCUCUAUUUAAGAAAAAUACUUCAUUUUAAAAUUACAAUUCAGAAGCAACGUCUCUGAUGAAGACAGAUGUACCUUUAGAUCUGGGACAACAAACAACAUAAAAUACAGUUAGUUUACAGUGACACUUUCUUAGGUUCAAAUCACAACAGUUCCUCUUUUACAAUGUGACUAUGAGAAAUAGGUAAGUAUCAAACAAUUUAAGCUUUCUGUCCAAAAGGAUUCCAGCAAAGAAACCUUUUCCUUUUCCUCAUUUCCCCCCUUACUACAUACUCUUACAAACCCACUAGUCCAUUUCUUCACAAAGAUCUCCUAUCACACCUGCAACAUUUUUUGUAGAAAAGUUCUCCCUUCUUUGGUUCUAAAAAUAAAGGGCCAAAUUAAAGGAUUUUUGUUUGUCCUUCCAACUAAAGCCAUGAAGUAAAUAAAGCUGGAAAGUUUUAGGCACUAAAUACCAGAGUGAUCUCCCUCUCUAGUCUCUGGCACAGCCUUUUAAACUUAAAACAUAACACUGUAGAUUUGCAUAUAGUCAAUUUUUAGAAAUAAAACAUCACACAAAAAAGCAAAGUUCUAAUGAUCGAUAUUCCUAUCUGUUUCCUACUCACAUAAGACUAUUCAUGACAGCUCUAAGAGGUGACUGUAAGCUUGAGCACGUCACCCAGUACUUCAGCAUGGUAAUUCAGCACUGAUGCUGGGUACCCUGAUUUAUGGAGCCAACCAUAAACAGUGAAAUAAGCUCUACAUGUCAGGUUCCUAAGAGCUUUUGGAAGAAAAAAAGAAAACAAAGGAGGACUUCUACUUAGAGCUGCCUUAAAAAUACUGGCCUACAAGAAUUAUAUGCCUGACAGUCUAGGGCAAUGUUGAAGCAUAAUGAAUAAAACUAUUAAAAUUAUGACCACAAUAAAUAUCCUUAAGAGGGGGGCGUAUACUUGCAACAAAAACAUAUCUGACUGCUCAAAACAUAUUUAGUUUUUUAGUAUCAACAAAUUCCUAUAAUCAGAAUCAGUUCAGUUCAGUCGCUCUGUCGUGUGUGACUCUUUGCGACCCCAUGAACUGCAGCACGCCAGGCCUCCCUGCCCAUCACCAACUCCCGAAUACCAACCUUCAAUUACAACUUGAUAUCAGGGUAAAGGAAGUAGCUUAGUGUAUUAUGAAUAUUUAAAAGCCCACUGAAACUGGCAAAAAUGUGGGGGAAAAGUGAUAUAACUAACAUCUACAUGAAAUCACACGCUGAUUCAUUUUAAACUGUUUCACACAAUAUAAAAAUAAUAUUUUUCCGAUUAUAAUUACUUGAAACUUUCUCAUUUACCCCUCUCAGUGAAAGAAUAUAGUACGGCAAAAUGUCAUACAUUAAACCCUGAUAAAUUAGAAUUUAAAGCUCAGAGGGUGGGAUCAAGUUUAUCUUUUAAUCUCUUACAGAAAAAAAUUGGCUUACCAAGAAAAUUCACUGUGUAAAAAUACAAUGGAAAUGUUUUACCUGUUUAAGAGAAUUCACUUUUUUCAUGUACUUUUAUAAAAAGUUAACGUCAAUACAAAUAAUCUUGAUCUCUUCGUCCAUGGGGUCACCAAGAGUUGGACACGACUGAGCGACUGAACUAAACUGAUUCACUAGGAAACUAAAGUGACUAUAUUACACUUGAAAUUAAUAUUAUAUAAUACUUUUAACUGUCCUCCAAUUAAUUCAAAUUCAUAAUUAUUACUUAAAUGUUUAAUUAGCUGAAAUACAGUAUUAAUCAGUCUUUAUCUUAAGUUUAGCCACUUAAACUCUGUGAAACAACUUUAAAAGUAUGGUAGGGUUAAAACAAUUUUAAAAGCACAGUAGGAAAAAAUUCAGGGUAGCAAGUCUUCCAUAUAAUAUAAUUAUGGCAGAGGAGGGACACCCCAUUUCAAAGUCAAUUAUCACUGACUUCUGGAUCACUUGCUGUUUUCCAGGUCUAUAAAAAUGGUAUCAUAAUCCUAAUGCUGAAUGAUGUAACCAUUUAAGCAGUUCCAACUGUAGCUGAAGUUAGAAAAAGAAGUGUAACAAGCUGGCACCAAUCCGCAGAUCAGGUGAAAUCAAUCCAGUCUGUUAGUCAGAUACUUAAGGGGAGGAAAUCCUAUAGGAAAGUUCCACUUCCCCUCCACAUUUAGAAAUCUGUCUAAAGACUGUCUUUUUUAAUGCCCACUAUAUAAACAACAUUAAAUAUUCUAAGUUAGAAAAUAGUGUUAAUGGUUUAUUGGUAAAAAUCCAAACUCUAGAGUUUAUGGAAUUAGUAGUUUGGUUGGUAUGUUAACAUUCCAUCUUAUCUUAGCUGAUAUUACAAAGAAAGAGGAAAAGCUAGAAAUAUCUAUAAAAAUAAAAUACCUUAAAACCAAUAUCUAAGCAAAAUAUAAAAGUUGUGCACAAAUUGUCAAUAAAUACAAACAUCACAAUAGAAAAAUUAAUAUUAAAAAAAUAAACCCAUAAUCGCUAUUAUGACAUUAUAAAAAUGAAGACGUUUACUGUGCAUGUGUGUUUGCAGACAGACACAGUACACUCCAAACAAUCAAUGUAAUUUCACUAUCAUUAUUACAUAAUGCAGCAUACAAGGUUACUGAGGUGUGGUGUUCUUUUGUCUGUUUUUUAAGUUUAUUCUUUUCUGGAAGAGUGCUCACCAAGUUCACAAGCAAGAACUGGUUAGGUGAUCAUUUACUGCUGUUUACUACUUCUAGUUCAAGGGAAAACUGCUUCCUGAUAGAUUACUAACUUUCCAACCAGUAGGAAUAAUUCUGCUAUUAUCCUUCCUUUUACUUCUCUCCUCCAAAGCCUGAUUUUUACACGUUCAAUUUCGAAUUAACCGAUCGUACAGAUGCACUGUCAUCAUUUCCAUCUACGCUAGAAAGAGAGGGAGACGUUUAGAAUGUAUCUUGCUGCCUGAAAGAGAAAAGAUUUCCCUAAAGAUAGAGAAAUACCAUUUUACUUUUCCUAUUUCCUUGGUGAGUUGGCUCUAUCUUUCUGUGCAGUCUUCUUUAGUAAAGAGUAAUUAGAAAAGGCCACCAAUAGAUAUUUACAAAAGGGUCAAUAUGCUGGAGGGGGAGAGGGUAGCCUAUCACAUAAUUUCUGGCAAGUUACCAUUGACUUUGGGGGUUUACUACCGUACUCGUACCCUUGCUAAAAAGUUCAGCAAACUCGCUGUUUUGUGUGCCAUAUAGAUUACCUUCAACACAGCCGAGAACUGAAAGGGUUACUUCUGUUAAAAACUGUGUUUUUAAACCUACAAAAUACAUUUGGUGAGCAUUUACUUAGAUACUUUACUUGAAUAAAAGCUAUAUUUGGUUCCCUUGGACCAGAUUCAGGACAACAAAUAACAUUAUUUAUAUGAAACGGUCAUACUCUUGGAGUUCUAAAAUAAUUUAUCUUUUAAAUUUUUAGCCUCAUGCUAUUUGAAAAAUAAAAGUCUACAGCACCAUCUUCUGAAAAGGCACUUUCUAAGAACCGCCUUGCUUUAAAAAAUGAUUUAAAAUUUUAAUUCAGCGUCUACCCUGAAGAACAUCUUUGCUUUAAUGAUACCCUAACAUAGAUACAACAUUAGAGUUUGGUUACCUCAGAUAUUGAUUUCAAAAAGGAAGUGAGACCAAUGGCUGGAUGGAUGAUUCAACAGCAUCUUAAUUUUGUCAUUCUGUUGGCUACCUGAUACUUCAAGAGGGCUUCUCAUUGGUAAAUCUCAACCCUCCAUAUGAAAUUUAUUAACCUUCUAUCUUUAAUUCAAAUUAAAAUCUUUACUUUCCAUACUUCAAGAGCAAAAUAUUCUUACAACAAUGUAAAAAUAUAGAGCACUAUCUUUGAUGGGUAAAGAAAAAUAAAAUUCAACUAGUAGUAGAUAAUAUUAGCACAAGCUUUGACCACUGUAUCUCAGUUAAAAGAAAUUAUUUUGAUCAACAUGGAAAACUAGAAACUGAAAUGUACCACUUUUAAAAGCAGGAAAAAGUAAAAAAUAUUUUUCCCUUUGAGGCUAUAUAUAUAUAUAUAUAGAGAGAGAGAGAGAGAGAGAGAGAGAGAGAGAGAGAGACUGAAUUUUUCUUCCUGUGAAUCAGCUUAGGUUUCACUAAUCACAGUAUCAUUUCUAGUAUUGCCACUGAUCACAAAUGUUCUUAGUAUAUGUAGGAAUUUUUUUAAAUGAUUUUUUUGGAGAAAAUUCUCACUUUCCCAUCUAUGUACUGAUUUUACACAUUAUUCUUUGCUUUUUGACUCCUACAGAAGCACAAAGUGCUUUAUAUGAUCAAGUGAGAGGAGAAAAGGAAAAUACAGACAGCCUCUAGAGUCAGGGUUAUACUACCACUCACAAAGGUCUCACCUGGUAUAAAGUCUCGCAAGUAUUAUUAUUGAAGCUUUAGGAUAUCCAUGAAUUCUCAAAAAGAAUGAAAAGGAUUUAAAAAGCCAAAAUAAAGAUACCAUUCCAGUGGUGUCUUUUUACAGCUUGACUGGAUAACUCACAAAAGAUAAUUUAAGUAGCAAGUUACUGUUAGUGGCAACUUGUCUUUAAAAAGUAUUCAACAGGAAAACAUCUAAGAGGAUGAAUUAAAACAACUAUUUAAACCAGAUUAAAUGAUACUGAAUAAAAUUUACGCAGACCUGUCAGUUAAGCCUCUUGGAAAAACAUCACUAUCAAGUUUUAAUAGCAAGACUACAAAAUAUUCUAGCUGUAUCCAAGUGGCUAAGCUUCAUGAAUUUCAUAAAAAUCACUACCUAUGGUAAAUUCAUAUUGGCCUCUGAAUCAAAUACCCACAAAAUUUCUUGGAUAAGAAUCUCUAAUUCCUAGUCUAUAAUUCAUCAGAAAUAGAUCCUUCAGAUUUAUUACUGGCAUUCUGAGUGUUCACCUUUUCCUUAAACAUUGAGAUCCUCUGCCAAUCAUUUCUAAGGAACGGCAACUCAGCUUUUAUUCUCCUAGACAUAGCUUAAGUCUGUCAUGACUAAGCCUGUGAUGAGGUCUGUCAUACUAAAAUCCAUUAGAGAAUAUGUAAGUAAACUUUAGGCAGUGGUGGGUCAUUAGAGAACCUAUUAUAGUUUGGAAAACUAGUAUAGGUGUUUAGAAGGCUAGGAGUCUCCAUGCUAGAAGGAAGAGAUGAAUCUUUAUCAAGUGCCUUCUAAAACACCCAGUAUACUCCUACUAGAAUCCCACCUAGACCCUCUUCAAGGAAGAUAAAUAAAUUAAUAGGUUAUAACCAGGAAGAUUUUCAUAGACAAAUACUUUUUCUGAGAAAUGUGUUAAAAGGUAAAUAUUAAGAAAAAAAUAAAGGGCAUCUGUAUGUCUGUGAAAAUAAGCCAAAAACCAGUACUAAGGAGGCUGAGGUACCCUUUUUCAAAACUCUUAAAGUAAAAAUCCACAUUUCUAAAACAAAGAAAGAGUGUCCUGACAUUAAAUUGAACCUAAAUUGGCAGCACCCUUUGUUAUCUUGAUAUUUCAUGUUCUUAAAUCUUAUUUAGGAAAAAAAAAAAAAGUUUAACACCAGCCUUGAAUCCUGCUCAUCUCCUUACUGUUUAGUGCAGUAACUGUCAGACUCUACUUCAUUAAAUAAAUAUAGCAGCUACAGUAUUAUAAAUGCAUGGUCCUCAAUGCCAUUAACUUGAUACUGUAAUAUGAAACAUGUAUCAGCACUUUACAUAUUUGCCAUCCAGAAUAUACAUUAAGCUCCCAAUUCUUCUUCACAUGAAAAUCUAUUAUACCAGUUGCUGGGACUGACAUUUUAAAGUCACUCAUAUAUCACAGAAAACAGCAGAGAGAAAUUUAGCAUUCACCGUAUGUAUAGUUAGUGAGCAAGGGCAGGAACAGAAAGGUCACUGUUGAGUUUCAUGACCAUUUAAACUCAAAACAAUCUUUUUUUCCUCCUUUUUUUAAAUAAAAAAGAUCAGUGAUUCUACACCAGAAGUACAAUAACAAUUAAAACAAAUUUCAAAAAAUAUGUGCCAUUUAGUCUUUUAUCUUAAAAUUCUAAGCACAAAGUUUCUUAUAAUUAAGUUUGAUACACCAAUUUGUUAGUAAGCAAAAUAGAAAUAUACUAUACAUAUUCUUUCAAGUUAACCAACUUUAAACUAGCAAUGUUGAAACUCUAAGAGCACCCUUUAUAAAGAACUCAUUUCAAAGGUAAAGCUUUAUGUUAAAAAAAAUUUUUUUUCCUCUGUAAAAGUCCUUCUAAAUAGAUUUAAAUUGUGGGCUUUACUUUAGCACAUGUGAGAUUAGGUGACUGAAAUUAGGUAAACCAGGUAAACAGGGGGAAAUUAUCUACAGUUCUUCCCUAGGCCCUAAAGUCUCCCACAUGAAUCUGUGAAACUCCCACUGAUAAAGAAGAUGCUUUACUCAUACUGAGCAAACAUACGCCAUCAGGUUUUACCAUCUAAGAUACACUAUUUCCUUCUCCUGUCUAUGUUCUGGAUUAUAUUCAGUGAAACUUCAAUGUAAAAAAAAAAAUACAACCGUUAUAGACAUUUUUUGGAGGAGGAGAGGCGGUUGGGAGAAAAAUGUAUAUACUACACAAACAUCACCUUAUGUAAAGAGCUUUGAAACAGUGUUGUAAAUUGCAUCUCAGCAACUUCAAUAUAAUAAACAUACAAAAUACAGUACUUUCUUAAUUUUCUGGCAGGGGGACAAAAGAUUUCAUACCUGUUGGAGGACGUGGGCUCAGAUUUUAGGCUCAAAAUACAGUAAAUUGGCAUUACAUGGAUAACAGGUAAGAGAGAAACUAAAGAGCUAAUCCAUUUGUUUUCAUGUGCAGAUGGAAUUCUGAAAGGUUAACAAUGCCCACUGGAAACAAUCUGUAAUAUCUACACUCUGAACCAGUGCAAAAAAAAAAAAAAAAAAUUUGCAAUUUUCAUGAGUUACAAAGUGCAAAGCUCCCUUGAAUCCAAGGUUACUGAUAAACUCGGUUUUGACAGCUUUAUAGUAUUUUUUACUAUCUUAAAGUGAAGUUAAUAAAAACAAAAGUUCUGCAAAAAAGUUUUUCAACAUUUCAGUGAUUUAACUCAUUUCAAAUGAUAACUUCCUUUGUCACCAUCUCCCUAAUUUUAAAAGGAAAGUUACACUAGUGAUGAAUUAGCAAAUAAAGUUUUAAAAAUAUCAUUUUAUAUUUUCCUGACACAUUUUAGUAAAUGAAAACUGGCAGCUUACCAGUAUGAUUCUUCAAUAAACACGAGCUCUUUUCAAAAAUUUAAAUGUCUUCUAUAUCUUAAGCUAGUCAUUGUCAUUAAUUAAAUCAAAGUUCUUCAACUUUAAUAUUCAAGGUCAAGACUCAUUUAGGAAAUUUAGCUUCCUUCAUUUUCAUAAUGAUUUUUAUAAGACAUGAUUUAAACUUGAAAAUUAUAAAACUUUCCUUCUGAAAUUAAGGCUAUAUUACUUUGCCCUUUUAAAAUUAUGGAGGUGCCUGUUUCUCCCAUGAUUUGUGGUAAAGAUGUAAAACAGACACAGCUUUCUUUUUAAAACUGCUUAUUGCACUAAAAGAGAGCAAAAACAAAUUGUCAGUUCUUAAAAUAAACAUGAUUAUAUUUCUAUAAAAGAUGUUGCCAAUUCAAUUUUAUAAUUAUUAAAGCACUAUUCUAAUAAAUAUAAAAGAAAAGGAAGCUAUACUUCAACACACAUACAUAUAUGUUUAUAUAUACAACACAUAUAUAUAAAAAUAUAUAUAUGAAAAUCACAUUAAGGUAUGAGAGGCAGCAAGUAAACUAGCAAAAAAAAAUUAAAAGAAACCUCAACAACCCUUCUCUCUACCCAAUUUCAGAGACCUCAACCCUACACGAUUCCAAUCAUGUAAAACAUUUACCCUUUAUAAAAGCUUUAAGGAAUUUCCAUGUAUAACACAUAGAAACAGAAGACUUUAGAAUAGUAGCAUCAGUUAUAGAGAGAGUUACAACUUUUGACAAGUUUUCUUUUUUAAUAGCAGCUUGAACAAAUUCACUAAAGAAAAAGAAUGGUUUAGGUGCUACUGCUUAUGUACACAUUGCACAAAUGGCAAAUGUAAGCUGAGGGCUGGAGGGGGCAGACAUUCGCUCUCACAAAACCAUAUUUUAUAUAUAUAUGUAUAUAUAAAAUAAUUUUGUUUCUUAGGAAAGCAAUACCAAGAGUUGAGGACUCAAAAUUGUGUAUGAGACAAGAGAUAGGAGUAGGGUGUGCAAAAUAAAAAUCUAGUUUGCCAUGCUUCAUAUUCAAAUGAACCAGAUACAUGAAUAUUUGAAUGUCACUGGUAGCAUCAGGGGAAAAAAAUGUAGGUGAAGAAGGCAAGGGAGGUAGAGAGAAAAAUGAAAGUGGCGGUGGGAGAAUAAUAAAAGGGAAAGACGGUUCCCCGACGGAAUGAACUAUAAAAUAUAUACAGGGAUACAUAUAUAUCUACUAUCAGUGUAGAUCCAGAUAUAUAUGCAUAUGCAGUAUGCAUGUAUAUAUGUAAAAUAUACAGAUAACUUUUACAAGAAUACAUGAAUGCACAUUAAUUUUUUUGCACACAUCAUUGUGAACAAUCACUUUGAUUAUUC